rnacentral:rRNA from 1 species
UACAGAGGGUGCGAGCGUUAAUCGGAAUUACUGGGCGUAAAGGGCGCGUAGGCGGCCUUCUAAGUCGAACGUGAAAUCCCUGGGCUCAACCCAGGAACUGCGUCCGAUACUGGAAGGCUUGAAUCCGGGAGAGGGAUGUGGAAUUCCAGGUGUAGCGGUGAAAUGCGUAGAUAUCUGGAGGAACACCGGUGGCGAAGGCGACAUCCUGGACCGGUAUUGACGCUGAGGCGCGAAAGCCAGGGGAGCAAACGGG